UACGUAGGGUGCAAGCGUUAAUCGGAAUUACUGGGCGUAAAGCGUGCGCAGGCGGUUAUAUAAGACAGUUGUGAAAUCCCCGGGCUCAACCUGGGAACUGCAUCUGUGGCUGUAUAGCUAGAGUACGGUAGAGGGGGGAUGGAAUUCCGCGUGUAGCAGUGAAAAUGCGUAGAUAUGCGGAGGAACACCGAUGGCGAAGGCAAUCCCCCUGGACCUGUACUGACGCU
rnacentral:rRNA from 1 species